CUUGUGCGCAUUUCCUCAAUAAGCCAUUAACAUUGUUUGACCUUUUUACUGCUGUACCUGAAAGGCUGCUUAUGGGUGUUUUCAAUCUCACAAUACGUUUCAGUAACAGACAUAGCCAAAUUUCAUAACUUCACAUACGACAAUAGCACAUGCAAUCCAACGAGAUAUUAAUGUCCAGCAGAUCAAGACUUUUAGAAGGAUACCUCACAAGGCAUACUUUGUACAAAACAUAUCCUAAUUACAUGACAGUGGUGAAUACUGGUUUGCCAGGGUGUCACAGUAAGAACCUCUUUUUUUUUUUGUAUUCACAGACUACCCACCGAUUCAUUUGUUCUCGUACACAGCAUUUAACAUGUCCUCCAAAGGAUGGCUCUUGCAGCAGUACAAUGGCCCUUAAUAUCAUGCUGGCAGGAGCAUAGGUUCAGUGCUGGCCAAGUGACAUCACAACACCAAUCCUUCUAUACCUGGGGUUUUUUCGAGGCUACACAGGAAUUACAAAGUUGACCUAUUAUGUUUGCAUGUUUGAGUGAUUUUUUUUUUUUUUUAAACUUUGCAGCCUGUUUCCAAGAUCCAGCCUUUAUUUGGCAAAAUUUAAGUCUGAAACCCUUUGGGAUCGCUAGUUAAAGAUUGUGGCAGUGAGGUUCCUUACAGCAAGAAUUCUAUGUUCUUGUUCAACGUGCACUCAAUCACCUGUGAUAAAUUAUUUCCCACUGUCUGGAACACAGCUGCAUUCAAGCAAACAAUAUUUACCAUCUUCGUAUCAUUGUAUACAAUCUAACUUCUGGGGAAUUUUUACUCCCUCAAAAAAGGAGAGCUCUCCAUUAUACAGACUUUUCUAUAUGCUCUUUGGGCUGGAUUCACCCCUCCUGGUACAGGCAGGAGCCAUUUGCAGGGCCUUGUCCUAGUGAGACCUCUUGCAUAACAGGGAGGAAUUAUCCCUAAGGAGGGCAGCCAUCUUUAACUCUUCUUGGGACUUCAUAGGAGCUGGCACAGAUUGCUCAGGAAUGUGCUCAAUCAAUACAUAUACAUAUCAAUACAUGUCUCCGCCCAGACCUCUUUCCCCUCAUCUCACAGGUUUGAUAAGCUCUGUGGUUUCUAAUGAUGCCUCUGCAGAGGCUUGGAAGCCAGAAGAUGGAACUCAAGUGCAACUUUUCAGAAGAAGAUCUGAUAGAGAAGCCUCUGCAUAGUGCAGAAAAAUAUGCACUGUGCUUAGCAAGACAAACAAAGCUCUAUGCCUAUGCUGGAAAGAUUGUGCUUCAGUUCCUUCCAUAUCAAGAAGUUACAAGGACAGCGGUUUCCGACAACUAACCCAACAAACUCAGCUUGCCACCAGAAACUCAGACAAUCAGGCAUUCCAUAUGCUAAGAAGAGAAGGGAGAUGCAUUUCAGAGCUCACUUCAACUACUCUGCCUUAGAGGGCUGACAUCAACAUACACUGAAGAGUACAACAGCACACUGGCUUAUGUGUGACAUUUCAUAUUAGAGUUUAUUAUGACUGUCUAGUUCAAGGGAUACCACUUAUUUAUCCUCGACUUUCAGCUCCAGGGUUUGAUGUGAAAGGAAGCAAUUUCUCUAUUAAAAAAAUAUAGGGGACCAUCAGCCAGUGGCCUUGCCAUAAAUAAACCCCUUUAUAGCUGAGUAUUUUAUACACCAUUAAAGACACAAUGGGAGGGAAUAAAACAAGCACACUACAUGGCAUCACACACAGAAGUAUAGUCCCAUAAAGACUAGGGCUUGGAGGGGGCGUGUGCGUGUGUGUGCUCUGAUAAUUUUCAAAUUAUUCAUGCAUGCUCCAUCUGAGAUUGUGGUCCAAGCACUGUAUUACAUUUUCAAAAUGUAUGUAGACUUGCCUGAUUCAGCAGGAAGUUUCCAAGAAAAUUAAA